rnacentral:rRNA from 1 species
GGGGAAUAUUGCACAAUGGGCGCAAGCCUGAUGCAGCGACGCCGCGUGGGGGAUGAAGGCAUUCGGGUUGUAAACUCCUUUGGCUAGCGACGAAGCCUAUUAGGUGCAGGUAGGUAGAUAAGAAGCACCGGUUAACUACGUGUGAGCAGCCGCGGUAAUACGUAGGGUGCAAGCGUUGUCCGGAAUUACUGGGCGUAAAGAGCUCGUAGGUGGUUUGUCGCGUCGUCUGUGAAAUCCCGGGGCUUAACUUCGGGCGUGCAGGCGAUACGGGCAUAACUUGAGUGCUGUAGGGGAGACUGGAAUUCCUGGUGUAGCGGUGAAAUGCGCAGAUAUCAGGAGGAACACCGAUGGCGAAGGCAGGUCUCUGGGCAGUUACUGACGCUGAGGAGCGAAAGCAUGGGUAGCGAACAGG